AGUGGCCGCAAGCCGAGUCCCGCUACCGAAGCGGGAACGGGGGACCCAGGUAAUUGGGGCGCAGCGCCGUAAGGCGCAGGGCAGUCAGUCUCUUCCGCCCGAGCCCGUCAGCUAACCCCGUAGGCUUCGGAGGAGAGACCGA
rnacentral:sRNA from 2 species